rnacentral:rRNA from 1 species
GUAGGCACCAAGCGUUGUCCGGAUUUAUUGGGCGUAAAGAGCUCGUAGGCGGUUCAGUAAGUCGGGUGUGAAAACUCUGGGCUCAACCCAGAGACGCCACUCGAUACUGCUGUGACUAGAGUACGGUAGGGGAGCGGGGAAUUCCUGGUGUAGCGGUGAAAUGCGCAGAUAUCAGGAGGAACACCGGUGGCGAAGGCGCCGCUCUGGGCCGAAACUGACGCUGAGGAGCGAAAGCGUGGGUAGCAAAC